GGUGUGUGUGUGGUGUGUGUGUGUAGGUGGACAACACGGAGCAGAGGGACGGUUUGAUCCUAGCAGAUGCUCUCUGUUACGCUCACAGCUUCAACCCCCGGGCCAUCGUCAACGCUGCUACCCUCACUGGAGCGAUGGACGUUGCUCUGGGCUCAGCAGCCACGGGAGUCUUCAACCAACUCUGACUGGCUCUGGGAGCAGCUUCACAAGGCCAGUGUGGUAACAGGGUGUCU